rnacentral:rRNA from 1 species
AUUGAACGCUGGCGGCAUGCCUUACACAUGCAAGUCGAACGGUAACAGGUCAAGCUGACGAGUGGCGAACGGGUGAGUAAUAUAUCGGAACGUGCCCAGUCGGUGGGGAUAACGUAGCGAAAGCUGCGCUAAUACCUCAUACGAUCUCUGGAUGAAAGCGGGGGCCUCGCAAGACCCUCGCGCGAUUGGAGCGGACAAUAUAGGAUUAGGUAGUUGGUGGGGUAAAAGCCCACAAAGCCGACGAUCUGUAGCUGGUCUGAGAGGACGACCAGCCACACUGGGACUGAGACACGGGCCAGACUCCUACGGGAGGCAGCAGUGGGGAAUUUUGGACAAUGGGCGAAAGCCUGAUCCAGCCAUGCCGCGUGCAGGACGAAGGCCUUCGGGUUGUAAACUGCUUUUGUACGGAACGAAACGGCUCUCUCUAAUACGGGGGGCUAAUGACGGUACCGUAAGAAUAAGCACCGGCUAACUACGUGCCAGCAGCCGCCGUAA